UAAUGAGACCUUGGUUAUAACGACAUGAUAUUCGCAUUGGCGCCCACGGCUAGAGUACAAAAGAAGACAGUACAACAUUUGUAUGGAUUCACUGAAAAAAUAUAUUCAUAUAUAAUACCUCGUGGAACAAUUACACAUCUCAAUAUCUAUGACGUUCAUACAGAUCCCAAUUUCUGGCCGAAUCCCCAUGUAUUCGAUCCAGAUUCGAUACAGAUUCUUACCUGAAAAAAUACAAAAGCGUCAUUCUUAUUCGUACUUGCCAUUCAGCGCGGGACCACGAAACUGUAUAAGCCAACGAGUUGGAGAUGAAGGCUAUAAUAACUUCUCUCGUGCACAAUUUUAACUUGGAACCUAUCGAUUAUCUAAAAAACAUAGAGGUGACAGCUGAUCUAAUGCUACGACAUCCACAUAUGGAAUGCAAUCAUCCGCUGAAUGUAAAGUUUGUCUCAAUAGAAGUCGCUUGAAGCUAGCACAGACUUUACGCGUGCGCGCGCGUGUAUAUAUGAAUUUAAUAUUAUGAUUAUAAUGGAUUUUAUAUGCAUAAAUGGUGUAUUUGCGACCGAAACCAUGAAUUUUUAAAAAGUUAAACGAAGU